rnacentral:rRNA from 1 species
CGUGAAACUAUUUAGAGGUAAACCUGAGAAACCCAAAAGGUCGAAGGGAGAAAUUCAUUCGCCGUCGGCUGAAGCGCUCGAGUGAUGAAGAGCGUUCGCGCUUUUCCCGCGUUUUCCGUUUUUCGAUCCAGCGGAGAACGCAUGCACUUUUCUCCUGGUAAGACGUCGCAAUCCGUUGGGUGUCGGUGUACGACUCGCGGUGGAACCCGGACGAACGGUUCGCUGUCGCGUCUGGACUCGCGUGUCCCGGCCGACCCGUUAGGCGGUAGAAAAAAGGUUCGAGGCCGCUCUUAGAACAUUCGGCUUGUCGCAAACGCGUCGGAUAUAUCGGCGAUUGAACCUAGUGCGGGUUCUGACAUUCGGCGACUGAUGGCGGCGAAGUUCUCGAACAGACCUCUUGAGACCGAACUGCGACGUUAUAGCUUCGGGUAAUUUCGUAAUCAGUCUUUAAACACGGACCAAGUAAUCUAGCAUGUGCGCGAGUCAUUGAGACUCGAUAAACCUAAAGUANCAAUGAAAGUGCAGGUCCGCCUCGCGCGGACCGAGGGAAGCCGGGCGGUUCGCCCUUGGAAGCGGGUGCUCCGAACUCCCGGGGCAUCUCGUUCCCAUCUUGAGAAGAAGCGCANCAAGAGCGUACACGCUGAGACCCGAAAGAUGGUGAACUAUGGCUGGUCAAGACGAAGUCNGGGGGAAACCCUGACGUANGUCCGCGGCUAUUCUGACAUGCAAAUCGAUCUUCGGAACUGGGUGUAGGGGCGGAAGACUAAUCGAAACAUCUAGUA